rnacentral:rRNA from 1 species
CGAAAGCUUGACGGAGCAAUACCGCGUGAGGGAGGAAGGCUUUUGGGUUGUAAACCUCUUUUAUUAAGGAAGAAGCAAGUGACGGUACUUAAAGAAUAAGCAUCGGCUAACUCCGUGCCAGCAGCCGCGGUAAUACGGGAGUGGCAAGCGUUAUCCGGAAUUAUUGGGCGUAAAGCGUCCGCAGGCGGCCGAUCAAGUCUGCUGUUAAAGCGUGGAGCUUAACUCCAUAAUGGCAGUGGAAACUGAUUGGCUGGAGUGUGGUAGGGGCAGAGGGAAUUCCCGGUGUAGCGGUGAAAUGCGUAGAUAUCGGGAAGAACACCAGUGGCGAAGGCGCUCUACUGGACCUGUACUGACACUGAGGGACGAAAGCUAGGGGAGCG